rnacentral:rRNA from 2 species
GACGAACGCUGGCGGCGUGCCUAAUACAUGCAAGUCGAGCGGGGAUUAUGCUUGAUCGCUUCGGUGAGACGGCAUAUAUCCUAGCGGCGGACGGGUGAGUAACGCGUGGGUAAUCUACCUCGUAGUUCGGGAUAACAGGCCGAAAGGCUUGCUAAUACCGGAUGAGUUCAUGCUUAUGCAUAUAGGCAUGAAGAAAGGGCUAGCCCGCUAUGAGAUGAGCCCGCGUCCCAUUAGCUUGUUGGUGGGGUAAUGGCCUACCAAGGCAACGAUGGGUAGCCGGCCUGAGAGGGUGUACGGCCACACUGGGACUGAGACACGGCCCAGACUCCUACGGGGGGCAGCAGUAGGGAAUUUUCGGCAAUGGGCGAAAGCCUGACCGAGCGACGCCGCGUGAGGGACGAAGGCCUUCGGGUUGUAAACCUCUGUCUGGGGGGAUGAGAACGGACGGUACCCCCGGAGGAAGCCCCGGCUAACUACGUG